UUCCUGGUGGUCCAUUGGCUAAGACUCUGCACUCCCAAUGCAAGGGCCCUGGAUUCAACCCCUGGUCAGGGAA
rnacentral:tRNA from 1 species